GAUGAAGAACGUAGCGAAAUGCGAUAAGUAGUGUGAAUUGCAGAAUUCAGUGAAUCAUCGAAUCUUUGAACGCACAUAGCGCCCCUUGGUAUUCCAUGGGGCAUGCCUGUUCGAGCGUCAUUUGUACCUUCAAGCUUUGCUUGGUGUUGGGUGUUUGUCCAUUCUCUUGCAGAGGGACUCGCCUUAAAGUAAUUGGCAGCCAGUGUUUUGGUUUUGAAGCGCAGCACAAGUCGCGAUUCAAAGCUAUACGCCCGCUUCCACAAGCCUUUUUCACUUUUGACCUCGGAUCAGGUAGGGAUACCCGCUGAACUUAAGCAUAUCAAUAAGCGGAGGA
rnacentral:misc_RNA from 1 species